rnacentral:rRNA from 1 species
UUCCUAUCGUAGGGGAGGCAGCGGUAUGGAAUACAGGUCAAGGGAGGCAACUGUGAACCAGCCAUGCCGGGUGCAGGAAGACAGCCCUCUGGGUCGUAAACUGCUUUUAUUGGGGAAUAAACCUAUCUACGGUAGAUAGCUGAAGACGAAG